UCUCAUUCUCUACUAGGCAACUAUUUGGCUGGGACACAUACGUGAACCUCCUCAAAUUGGCGCACUAAUCCUAAAAGGAGCCAUGAAGUGUUAAACGGUAGAAACAGAGAGAGCGGCGCUCAGACAGCCGCACGCUGGGAGAGAGGGAGGAAACAGCGCUGCUCCAAUGCGUCUGUGCAACACAGACUGAAGAGAGAGAGAGAAAAAACUUAUCGACUCACAAAACCCGAACCUGCGCAGCGCAAUUAGUGCGAGAGAACUCACUUUUCCUUCUGUUUUGAAGAAAAUAAAUAAAGAAAUCAAGCUGGCUCAGUGCGUGUCUCAGCAGCCUACUUUGACAGGUGCUCCUCACCCCCUUUGGAGGACUGUCAACAGCAAGAGGAUGGCAUCAGAGCUGGCAAUGAGCAACUCCGACCUGCCCACCAGUCCCCUGGCCAUGGAAUAUGUUAAUGACUUCGAUCUGAUGAAGUUUGAAGUGAAAAAGGAGCCGGUGGAGCCCGAUCGCAUCAUCAACCAGUGCAGCCGCCUGGUCGCCGGGGGAUCCCUAUCUUCCACCCCGAUGAGCACGCCUUGCAGCUCGGUUCCCCCCUCUCCAAGCUUCUCGGCGCCCAGUCCGGGAUCAGGGAGCGAACAGAAGACGCACUUGGAGGAUUUCUACUGGAUGACCGGGUACCAGCAGCAGCUGAACCCCGAGGCUCUGGGCUUUAGCCCAGAGGACGCCGUAGAGGCGCUGAUCAGCAGCAGUCACCAGCUCCAAACCUUCGACGGCUAUGCCAGAGGGCAACAGUUCGGCGGAGCGGCCGGGGCAGGAGGCGCCAUGGCCGGGGAGGAGAUGGGAUCGGCGGCCGCCGUGGUGUCCGCGGUCAUCGCCGCUGCCGCAGCCCAGAACGGGGCUCCCCACCACCACCACCAUCACCACCACCACCACACAGGGGCACACCACCCCUCCUCCGGGUCCCAGUCCGGCGGCGGCGCGGGGGGCAACCACCAGCACAUGCGGCUGGAGGAGCGCUUCUCGGACGAGCAGCUGGUCACCAUGUCGGUGCGGGAACUGAACCGGCAGCUCCGGGGGGUCAGCAAGGAAGAAGUGAUCCGUCUGAAACAGAAGAGGAGGACACUAAAGAACAGAGGCUAUGCGCAGUCCUGUCGGUACAAGCGCGUCCAGCAGCGGCACGUCCUGGAAGGGGAGAAGACGCAGCUCAUGCAGCAGGUGGACCACCUCAAGCAGGAGAUCUCCCGGCUGGCCAGGGAGAGGGACGCCUACAAGGAGAAAUAUGAGAAGCUCAUCAGCACCGGCUUCAGAGAAAACGGAGGCUCCAGCAGCGACAACAACCCUUCAUCUCCGGAGUUUUUCAUGACGUCAAGAAAAUUCCUCCAUCUGUGAUAGAGAGCUGUGAUUUCUUGGUCCCCCUGGAGACUGCGACUGGAACACCCCUCUAAACCUCGACCCCAGCACCCUUCGAGCUUUUCUUGCCAUCCUCAUUCUGCCAGCAACCAUGCUAUAUUAUGACACUGGAAUGCUGUUUAUUGAACAACCUUCGGCACCCGGACUGCCAUGAAGCACAAUGUCUUAAAAGCGAAUCGCCCUCCAAGCAGCUUCAGGACAACCCAACCCAAAUACAGCGGCUCAACACUAAAGAUCACAGCUUAAAAAGAAACAGACUGAAAUCAUGAAUUCUAGUUUAACAGCAAGAGAAGAAACAGAGAUCAUGGUGUUUGUAAAUAAGACUCUUAAUGAUGGUGAAAUAUCAUUCCAUAAAUCUCCAAAUUGUAACUCAGAUUUAGUACAGAUGCUCUAGUUCCAUCAUAGAAAGGAGGAAAUUAGGAUGCCCUCUUCAAAUCAGGUGGAUGUAAAUACUGUACAGAUAACUAGUAGGGAUACUGAUAAAGAUACGAUUAUCGCAGAAUCAUGUAAAUAGGCAAAAGAAACAUACCUCUAUUGUGUUUAUAUCUUUGUGAGGGUCCUAUGCUCACUAGGUUGUAUUUCUUUAACUCAAACCGUUAAAAUCCAUUUCUUGGCAGAAGAUUCUGCACAACAGUAGACUUAAUGACACCGAAUACAGAGACAUUCAUUUGGAAGACGAUUUUUCUUAAACAGUGCACCAUAGCUGUAAUCCAAGCAUAUGCUAACUCAAAAAUGUUGUGGUUAAAAUGUUACGAGAAAAGAGCAGGGGAAAAAAAGAUAACCUGUUCAUUCUAAGUUCCCUACUUCCUACUGUAAAGCAACACAAACAACUGGACUGCAACUGUAAAUUAAAUCCCCUCCUUCCUGUGUAUGUAGAAUGUUUUAGCCCCAUAGUGAGAUGACAUAUCCAUGCAGACCUCUGUGGUUUAGCAGUUUUUGUAUUGUACAGUCAGAGUCUUUUAUCAAGUUCACCCCUAAGUCAACAUCAAAAGCUUCUGUGACUUCUUCCCCACACCGCCUGGAUUUCAGUCCGUUAGAGGGACUGAACUCCGACUGAUCGCUCUGCAACCAGGCGCUCACUCAGCUCCCACAGGCUAGCAGCAUUGCUUGGAUCCUGUGCCUGGAUGGACGGUUGGCAGCGGAAGCAGUUGUUAAAGUACAUGCCGCCUAAACCCUCCAGCUCUGGGGCCACCGCGCAGUACACCGUGGUGGCAGCACCUUGUUGCUGUGAAGGCAAAAAGAGAGAAAAUGAGACACCAUCAGUGGCACUUAGACGACUUAGUUGGCUUCAUCCUGCAGGAGGAGACAAAACAUGGAGAACUCAUCUACUCGCACGGAGACGUUCAGAGGUGCCCUGUCAAGAGAGAGGAUGAAUGGGGGACGCAGGCAGCAUCCAUCGUUUAGGAGAUAAACGCAUACAUGCAGACAGUCGGAAAAAGGAGACAGCAGGACUGAGCGGCCGCAGGAAAAAAAAUUAAAGACUUUUACACACAAGCUGUCUCACCCUUCUCUCAGCAGCCACUGAGGACUGCUUCAUAUCAACUUAACUGUACAUAUAUUUAUUUAUCUUUACCUGGCAUGUACAGGACUAUUCAAGAUGCACCGGCGCAGUGAAAAAGGGUUAAAAUAACUCCAGUUUGGACGUGAAUCUCAGCUAAAAAUGCAGCUUUUAUAUAAAUAAUAAUAGAAAAACAGGUUUGAGUGGAAAUAAGGAUGUAUAUUUUCACAUUAUGUGUACAGUGAUUGAGCCAGGCUUUUAAAGUUAAAUAUAAGCAUUAGGAUUUUAUGCAAGAAUAAUUCCGUACCCAAGUUAUAUGUCAGUUAAUUAUAGAAAAAAAUUGCUUUUUUUCAGUAAGCAUACAUAGACUGGCGGCUUUCUCACUAGUUUUCUCUAAGUACAUUUAGUUUUCAACAUCAUUCGGUCCUAAACCUAAAAACUCACAGAGUUUUAUGUUGUUCUCUAACACUGAAAGGGUGUUACGUGCUAAGUUUUCUAACACACCAUGUCCUUUCAGUCUGUAAUUAGUGGGGAUAUUCUUGGAAGAGGUGGAUGUGGUGGCGGGCAAGAGAUUUCUGUGACAUUUGAAAAUGAAAGUUGAAUAAACACGUCAGAGAGAAUUACACACAUAACCCGACUGCUCAAAGAGGGAUCUUUCAUGUUGCAGCUCCAGCUAAAAGCUGCUGUGACAGCUUCCCCGUGAAACACCCGGGGUUGGAGACGACUUCUGUACGACCACAUUAAAUGGUUUGCCCACUUUAUCUCCCGAUGAGAGUGAUGAGAGUUUUAGCACAGAGCACUGGCUCGCACCGAGACAAGCCCAUAUGUGCAAUAGUCAAACACAUAGAUAUAUAUAAAUACACAUGCAUAAUGGAGAACCAUUACUUGCCAACUGUUUGAACAGCUUCGUAAAGCAGCUGUGAGGCUAAUACAUAAAGUGAAAUUUUUGAAUAAAAAUGUGCAAAAUGCAUAUGCGAUAAAUGAAGAAGGAAAAUGUUUUCAUUUCAUCAAUACACACAAACCAGUGCAGUCAGCCCCCCUCCUGUACGCUGUGUGUUCAGAUUCAGCGUGUUUGAAGCGGUGUGUGAUGAGAGAGCUGGUAAACAGCAGAUGAAACGGCUGCAUCUCUCUGUAGGCCGCUGUCUGUCUCACCUGCCAGCCGGGCGAUAACUUUAUCCACGUCACAUGUCGCCAUAUCAAAGAUGCUUAAAUGCCAAACAGUGUCUCAGAGUUACAGGUUCACAGGCGCUUGGUAUAACUCAUCUCCCUCACUGAGGGCAUCUGAUUUUGCUCGACUAAGAGGCAACCCUGCCUUUAAACUUGACAGAGGAGUUCAGGAAAGCAGGGCUCCAAGACGCUGAAACACCUUGAACUUGGCUGCCUUUCUGAGCACUCAAUUACCAAACACUGAUCUGGCAGUAAUUUCAAAUGAAACUUUUAUUAUCUGAAUUUUUCAUCCUUUGAAAAGUAAACCCAGAAUGCAGCAGUGCGGUUCGUGGCAGAUAAACUAUUACAUGGACUGUUUGUACAAUCUUAUUGGUGUUUAGCUCAGCCCCACACCACUUGAUCCUGUGACCUCUGUAAGAGAUAAGGCUGAUAAGAUUAGGCAUUAACAUGCUUAGCCACCCACCACAGCCAUUUAUCAUUGUGUGUGCAUUUGCAGAUAGGAUAGCCAAAGUGUGUGCGAGGUAGAGGUACGGGGAAUGAGAACUACAUUUUUUACACAUCUUUUUGCGCAGAAGGCCAUUUGUACGAGCAUUUAUGACACACGAGUAACAGUUUAUAAGCAAAAGGAGAAGAACAUGAAGAAAAGAGGGGAAAACGUAAAGAGUAGCCAUUUCCAACCCGUGUCUGAGUGCAAACGAGGUUUGUAAAUGUAGCUGUCUGCAAACUCUGUGUGUAUCUUUAUCUUCUUUAACUAAAUGUUAAUCAUUACCUUGUGUACAGUACUUUUCUGAGAAACAUCCUUGUGUUUUGCUCUUUUCCAACUAGAGCUGUGAACUGGGAUUUGAAAUCAAUUCGGGGAAUCUCUAAAGCUUAACAAAAAGACUUAAGAUUCAAGGCAGUUUUGUGCAGAAUAGCAAAAAGGAAAAAACUCAUAAAUGGAAGAUCCUUCUUUGAAAAAGCAGUCUCCCAGCUAGUCACAGACACCCUCUGAAAUGUUUUAAACUAAACAUCCAGAAUUUUUUUUUCAAGGAAAACGCAAAUAUUUGCAGCUGUAAAGAGUAACAGUGUCUUGCAAAAUUAUUCACAUCCCUUGCACACUUUUCACAAUAAUGUUAUUGUCAUAACAUUCCAUAUAUUUUCUUGAUUUUUCAUGUAAUAGAAAUUGUGUGUAUGCAUAUUUUGCACCACCUUGUGCUGCAACUAAAUCUGCAGGUCAUCUUGGUGUUUUUAACCACUAGCUCUGCAUAUUUAGAUAAAUUCUUUUGGCUAUUCUUUUCCAAAAUAGUUCAAGCUCUUAAGGAUGGAUAGAAGGCAUAAAUGCCCGUGAAUAUCAGCUCAACAAACAUGCUUCUCAUUUGUAACACACCAAUAAGCUUGUAUCUUAUUGUAGCUCAGGCUGUUUGUUUUGGGAUCAUUGUCUUGCUGGAAGGUGUAGCCCAGUCUCAGUCUCAUGUUUUUACUGUUCCUAACAGGCUUUCUUAGACCAGUUUUGUGUUCUUUGCUGAAGAAAAGCAUUUAAUAUAUGUUUCUUUUGACAUGUUUUACUCUGAGGGUAGUUUGUUUUAAUGAGUUAGACUGGAUACCGGAUAUAUCUAAGUAAAGGGGGCUUAAAGCAACAUGGUGAAAGCCUGAAAUCCAUUCCUUUCAAUUAUACUUUAUAUUACCAUGAUCACAAGAACUCAUGUUAAAAUACAUUUACUGCUGAUAAUUGUAAUGUAAGGUUAUAAAAAAAAAACUUCAAGGGAUAUGAAUACUUUGCAAAGCACUGGAGGAAGAGAUAAUCUACACUGAAAAAAUAUGGGAAACUUUAAUUAACCUAAUAGGACUGGACCAUGAGCAUGUCAUCAAAUGUAUACCUUAAUAAUCUAAAGACUGUCGAGAAAGUGACAGAAAAACAAAUAAAAGACUUAAAGAAUAUGCCAGCAACAGAACAUAUCACAGAGAGAAAAGCCAAAGGAUUAGCAUAGUAGAAAAAUUUGACAGCCUAUUCUCUGGACACUAUUUCUGUGUAAAGAUUUAUGGUUAAAAAUGCAAAUAAUGAGGAAAUGUACCCUGCAAUAAUGUGUUUUUUGGUGGAAGUUGAAGAGCAGUGCAAGCUUGCAUUAGUUUUGGAUCCAGCAUUACAGCGCUGGAACAUCUCUGGGCCAGAUCAAAGUCUUCCAAUCAAAAUAUUGUCCCAAUAUUAAAGAACCUCAUAGACUGGCAAUAGAAAUAUCCUAAUAAAGUGUUGAGCAAUAACUAGAAGUCAUACUUAGCAUAUUUGCAAAGCAAAAGGUGAACGAAUAAGAUGCUUUGUGAGUGAAAAAUCUGUAUUUUUACAUUUGCUGUGUUCUGUUGUGUCUCUCUUUGUCAUCAGAGUUGUACUCAGCUGUAAGAGCUAUGCAUGUGACCCCGUUGAACCCUCACAUCUGUACUUAUGACAUCAAUCUCUCCCGCUGACCUAAAUGUGUAAAUAAGCCAUCUCAGUAGAGCAGUCUGGUUUUAGUCUGUACAUACAAACCUGUAAAUACCAAAGUCUAUGCAUGCAGAAAACCUUGCAGUUCUUUCAGGUACUUUUAUAAUCCCUAAAUUCUCACAUGGCAUGCGCUGAAAGAAAAGUAAAAAAAAUAAAUAAUAAAAAAUGAAAAAAAAAAAGAAUUAAAUACAGUAAAAAAGGGAAAAUGAACGAGUUGAUAUUAAUGUCAGGCAAUAUCCUCGCUUGGACAGUGUGUGUAGAGUCUUCCUGUUUUCUUACUCCUGUGGGUGGUUCUCUUCCAUGGCCUGUCCUGUGUUUCUGCUCACCAUCUGUGUCAUUUGUUGUCAAGUUGGCAUUUGUACAGCGGCGAGGGUUGAGGCAGAGGAGAGAGAGACAAAGAGGGGCUUUUACCAGAUGACCCCUGUGAUGGCACUCCAGUUGAGCAGCAGUACUAAAACUGGCAGAGCGAUCAUGACUGGGACGCAGUUUUAGAAGCUGCCUCCUGGCACCGACUACAGAUCAUUACAGUAUACAUUCAUGCUUGCCAUGCCAACGCCCUUUCCUUUUUUUCCGUUUUUAUGAAAAGUUAUUUUAAGUUUGGCAAGCUGACAGAAAACAAAUGUAUUCUGCUUCUAAAUAAAAGUUUAAUGUUUAUUUCACGUUUUAGUUCCUCAUCAAUUCAAGGCAAAUUCUGAAGUUAUUUGGAAAAAAAAGUUAUUUUGUAAAAUUAGGGGUAUUAUGGAUGAAGUACAGGGAUCAGGAGGAGUGCAGUUUUCAGUUAAAACCCUCUGUCCGGCCUCGUGGAGUAGCUACCCUCUAACUCUGAACUGGUUGGGAUUCUGUUUUUAGGAAUGUUUCUUUUUUUUCCCUACCUGUGAUGUUUAAAAUAUAUGGAAGUGUCUGAUUUUUAAUCUGUGCUAAAGAUAUUUUACAUUUAAUAAAUAACCAUUGAAAGCAAA